rnacentral:ncRNA from 24 species
CCGCAAACACGGGGGAGCCCCGAAGGCUGAGAGGCGCUGGAUGGCCAGCGCGACCCCUUGAACCUGAUCCGGGUAAUGCCGGCGAAGGGAGGCACAAUGAGUACGAGC